UAUACUAUAUUGUAUGAUGCAUAGAAAUUUUUGAUAUUUUUGGUAAUAGUUUAAUUCUAUUUAGUAUAA
rnacentral:tRNA from 1 species